GUACAUAGCAAAAUACACAUAGCAAAAUUUAAUAGGACACCGAUAUGUUAAAAUAGUCUCAAUUGGUGCUGUAACACGUAUUUCGGGAGUACACUAUACCGCAAUGAGGCCGGUAUGGAUUUUCGUAGCAAUAUUGAUCUCCGUUCAGUUAGAUUUCAUAGUGACAAUGGAACCUGAACUCCAGAAAUUCAGGAAUUUGGUGAAUAGUUGUACAAAAAAGUGCAAGGAAAAGAAAUGCCAUCAUCCGGGUGGCGUACUUGUUAGCGAUCGGGGGUGCGACGGUUACUGUGAGGGCAAAGUGGACAAAUAUAGAGAUGAUUGGGAGAAGAACGUCUGCAAGGAUUAAAAUUGUGAAUUAGUUUUGUUAGAAGGGAUAUUAUUUUAUUUACGUAUAUUCCUUUAAAUAAUAUUAAGCAGAUUCAUAUAAACUGACAUUUGUGUCGAUAUGUUCCUCUGACACAACUAUUGUUGUUGUUGUUGUUAAUCCUUUAUUCACGUGUCAACAGAGAUCAAUUCAACUAAUCUGGAACCAUGCACAUAUGUAUUUAUAAGAGACGAAAAUUACGAAAUAUAUGAAGAGUAAAUGAAAUAAAUGUAUUGAAUACU